rnacentral:rRNA from 1 species
AUUUUGGAGGGACGCGGCUACACAUGCAAGUCGAACGGUAGCACAGAGAGCUUGCUCUCGGGUGACGAGUGGCGGACGGGUGAGUAAUGUCUGGGAAACUGCCUGAUGGAGGGGGAUAACUACUGGAAACGGUAGCUAAUACCGCAUAACGUCGCAAGACCAAAGAGGGGGACCUUCGGGCCUCUUGCCAUCAGAUGUGCCCAGAUGGGAUUAGCUAGUAGGUGGGGUAACGGCUCACCUAGGCGACGAUCCCUAGCUGGUCUGAGAGGAUGACCAGCCACACUGGAACUGAGACACGGUCCAGACUCCUACGGGAGGCAGCAGUGGGGAAUAUUGCACAAUGGGCGCAAGCCUGAUGCAGCCAUGCCGCGUGUAUGAAGAAGGCCUUCGGGUUGUAAAGUACUUUCAGCGGGGAGGAAGGUGUUGAGGUUAAUAACCUUGGCAAUUGACGUUACCCGCAGAAGAAGCACCGGCUAACUCCGUGCCAGCAGCCGCGGUAAUACGGAGGGUGCAAGCGUUAAUCGGAAUUACUGGGCGUAAAGCGCACGCAGGCGGUCUGUCAAGUCGGAUGUGAAAUCCCCGGGCUCAACCUGGGAACUGCAUUCGAAACUGGCAGGCUAGAGUCUUGUAGAGGGGGGUAGAAUUCCAGGUGUAGCGGUGAAAUGCGUAGAGAUCUGGAGGAAUACCGGUGGCGAAGGCGGCCCCCUGGACAAAGACUGACGCUCAGGUGCGAAAGCGUGGGGAGCAAACAGGAUUAGAUACCCUGGUAGUCCACGCCGUAAACGAUGUCGACUUGGAGGUUGUGCCCUUGAGGCGUGGCUUCCGGAGCUAACGCGUUAAGUCGACCGCCUGGGGAGUACGGCCGCAAGGUUAAAACUCAAAUGAAUUGACGGGGGCCCGCACAAGCGGUGGAGCAUGUGGUUUAAUUCGAUGCAACGCGAAGAACCUUACCUACUCUUGACAUCCAGAGAACUUUCCAGAGAUGGAUUGGUGCCUUCGGGAACUCUGAGACAGGUGCUGCAUGGCUGUCGUCAGCUCGUGUUGUGAAAUGUUGGGUUAAGUCCCGCAACGAGCGCAACCCUUAUCCUUUGUUGCCAGCGGUCCGGCCGGGAACUCAAAGGAGACUGCCAGUGAUAAACUGGAGGAAGGUGGGGAUGACGUCAAGUCAUCAUGGCCCUUACGAGUAGGGCUACACACGUGCUACAAUGGCGCAUACAAAGAGAAGCGACCUCGCGAGAGCAAGCGGACCUCAUAAAGUGCGUCGUAGUCCGGAUUGGAGUCUGCAACUCGACUCCAUGAAGUCGGAAUCGCUAGUAAUCGUAGAUCAGAAUGCUACGGUGAAUACGUUCCCGGGCCUUGUACACACCGCCCGUCACACCAUGGGAGUGGGUUGCAAAAGAAGUAGGUAGCUUAACCUUCGGGAGGGCGCUACCAUAUUGUAUCAUGCCAAAAUAU